CCGCAGCUCUUCCCUAAGCGCCAUGAUUGUUCCUUUCUUCAUAUGCAUAUGUUUCUUCGGAUUAGAUCUACGUUCAGAUUUUGUUUAUAUAUUGAAUUGUUUUUGUUCUUAUACAACUUGGAAUGAGUGUGAACACUAUGGAUGCAGGCAUAAGAGAAGAAGCUUGCGAACCCUACGAGGGAAAUCAAAGUGCAGAAGCUUGUCCUCAACAUCUCCGUUGGUGAGAGUGGCGAUUGUCUCACCAAAAUGAUGGGAGGUGUUUGAUGGAUAAAUCAAAGUGCAGAAGCUCCAUCCCUUGAUAGAUAAAUCGUCUUGCUCGAAUUGUUGAUUCACUGCAGUGGAGAAAAAACAUCAGGUGAGACCACAAAGUAGUUACUCCAUAUACAAUUAUUCAUUCAGUGGACACCAGGAACAUCAGCGAUCUGAGCAGGUAUGCUAACUUGAAGAACAACAAACUAACAAAUUACACCUUCAACUUUGAUCAGAUGCUCAACGAUAAGGUGCUAAACUAUAGCUAUGCAAAUUUUGUGUCAUGCUUUGGAAGCAAGAGCAAAACAGAUAUUAGUUAGCUUUAGUGACCUUUAUUUAUAUGUUCAGCCACUUUUUUCCCAUUUUUCCCUCCUAAUAGAUCAUACUUGUAAGCUAGUAGUUCUCUUCACCUUAUUUCAGUAUUUUUAUAUGUAUAGUUUCAUAAUUACCCCAACAUAAUGGGAAAAAGUUUGGAAGUUGUUUUGUUGUUUAAUUUUACAUGUAUUUGAGUAUC